AGAGGGUGCGAGCGUUGUCCGGAAUCACUGGGCGUAAAGGGCGCGUAGGUGGCUGGGUAAGUGUGCGGUGAAAGCCCGGGGCUCAACCCCGGGUCGGCCGUGCAGACUGCUUGGCUCGAGCGUAGUAGAGGCAGGUGGAAUUCCGGGUGUAGCGGUGGAAUGCGUAGAGAUCCGGAAGAACACCGGUGGCGAAAGCGGCCUGCUGGGCUACUGCUGACACUGAGGCGCGACAGCGUGGGGAGCAAACAGGAUUAGAUACCCUGGUAGUCCACGCCGUAAACGAUGGGUACUAGGUGUCUGGGGGAGCGACCCCCUGGGUGCCGGCGCUAACGCAUGAAGUACCCCGCCUGGGGAGUACGGCCGCAAGGCUG
rnacentral:rRNA from 1 species